UACAGGGGGGGCAAGCGUUGGUCGGAAUUACUGGGCGUAAAGGGCUCGUAGGUGGCCAACUAAGUCAUACGUGAAAUCCCUCGGCUUAACCGGGGAACUGCCUCGGAUACUGGGUGCCUCGAGGGUGGUAGGGGUAUGCGGAACUAUCGGUGGAGCGGUGAAAUGCGUUGAUAUCGAUAGGAACUCCGGUGGCGAAGGCGGCUUGCCAGAACGCGCUCGACGGUGAGGGAUGAAAGCUGGGGGAGCAAACCGG
rnacentral:rRNA from 1 species